rnacentral:lncRNA from 10 species
UUUACCAUGUGUUUUUUCUGAUGCUUUGACAUCUGAGGUCUUGCUGACCUUGGAGAGACUUCUAGGGUUAGCCACCUCCCAGAAAGUAAACAACUCUCCUAGGGGCGCCCCUUUCAUGUGCAAACCAACCAAUCCAGAGCUUUCUCUCCCCACCACCUUCUCUAUGGAGUUCUCACACUCAGGGCCACUAUCCCCCUCCCUAGUCACCUCAGGGCCACGUACCAGACAACUAGGGGACAGCCCCGAUGACCCAGAGCCCAUUGAAAUUAUCCAAACUAGCCAAUCGUAAACCUGCUCACACUGUCUCGUCCGUUCCUCCCUGAGGAAGCCAGAAGAAAGGAUUUCUCUCCUGUUUUCACCCACUCCCUGUGCCUCCUGACUGACCCCGGUGCUUCCCCCAUGGCUCUGCAGAUCUUGGUGUGCCCACUCCUCUUGGGAACUGUAAGUAACGAAGAUCUGUUGGCCUCGCCAUAUCUGAAUAAUAAUGACACCUACACUUUAAAGCAGGGGCCCAGCAGGGCAAGAAGUCAGGACCCUGUUCCCUCUCUCACAGAGCUUAGAAUCUAGUCAGUGUGUUGCAUAUAUUUUUCUAGCGUGCAAUUUUUUUCUCUGAUAAGGCAAAUGGGCUUGAAUCUCAAGACUGUAGUUGCUUAUCAGAUUAAUACAGCUAUGCUUUUGAAAAUGAAUAAUGGGAUAAUUUAAUGGUGAGUAUGUACACUAUUUCUAACUCCCAGUGCCACCCACAAUACACACAUACACACACACACACUCAUACACUCACACAUACUCACACACACUCAUAUACAUACAUUCACUGUCUCACACACACACACUCACACAGUCUCACGAACUCACACACUGACACACACACUCACACACUCACUCUGACACACGACACUCCUUGUAGGAGGUGUAUUGAGUCUCAGGGUAGGUAGGCUCUGAUUUCCUAAUUCCUGCCUCCGUGAAUUCUUUUUCCCUCUCAAAGCCUCUCUGCUCCCUAUUCCUAUCCAUAGAUGUCCUGCAGAUGGUUAAGAGUCUUUAACAACCCUAAGCUGCAGACAGGCCUAAAGCAGUUUCACUGAGUUUACUUUUGAAUUUUGUUUAUGGUGGGUUUUUUUAAUUUAAACUUUUUUUUUUUUUAAGAGACAGCCUCGCUCUGCCACCCAGGCUGGUGUGCAGUGGCGCAAUCUCGGCUCAUUGCAACCUCCGCCUCCUGGGUUCAAGCGAUUAUCCUGCCUCAGCCUCCCAACUAGCUAGAAUUACAGGCGUGUAAUUUUACCACCAUGCGCAGCUAAUUUUUUUUUGUAUUUUUAGUAAAGACAGGGUUUCACUAUAUUGGCCAGGCUGGGCUUAAACUCCUGACCUCAGGUGACCCGCCGGCCUUAGCCUCCCGAAGUGCUGGGAUUAUAGGCGUGAGCCACUGCGCCUGGCCUAAUUUAAACUUUUAAUUUUGAGACCAUUGUAGAUUUGCAUGCAGUGGUAAGAAAUAACACCAAGAGAUCAUGGGUACAGUUCACCCAGCUCCUCCUAAUGGUACAAUGUCACAACCUGCACAGUGACAUUGACAGAAGCCACUGAUCUUACUCAGGUUCCCUCAGUUUUACUUUUGUGUGUGUGUGUGUGUGUGUGUGUGUGUAUAGUUAGUUCUAUGUAACUUUAUCACGUGUAGUUUUGUGUAUAGCCUGUAUGGUGGCUUUUUAAUUAUAGUUAUGUAGUUAUUGUUAUAUAUUCAAUUCUUUCCUUUAUAUUCUGCUUUUGUUGUCAAAAUAAUGAAGAUCUUCUCUUCCCCAGGAUCACAAAAAUUAUCUCAGGAAUUCCAGGAAGAAGAGUCCAUUUAUUGACUCUUUCUGCCUUUUAUCCAUAGAAAUUCCAUGUGGAAAUCUCUCUAAUCCAGAUUCCCCCUUACCUUUUCCACUGGAGAUUUUUUACCAAAUUGAACAAUAACUGUUGGUGCUAAAUCCACCAGAAAUACUUUUCAGUUCUCAUUUCAUUCACUGAUUUCUUUAUUCAACAAAUAUUUCCAGUGUGUGCUUAGGUCUCCGGCAUGGUUCUAGGCCUGGGCACGCAGUACGGCAGAGGGAGAUGCAAGAGAAAGAUGGAUGGGAUCAGACCUCAUGGGAACCUUGCUGGCUGUGCAGAAUAAGAAGUUUGGAUUUUAUUCUCAAGGCAAUGGGAAACUAGAAGAUUUAAAGGAGGGGAGAGAUCCAAUCUGAUUUCUUUUUUUUUUUUUUUCUGAGAUGGGGUCUUGCUCUAUUGCCCAGGUUGCAGCCUCAACCUCCUGGGCUCAAGUGAUUCUCCCACCUCAGCCUCCCAAGUACCUGGGACCACAGGUGUGCACCACCAAGCCCGGCUAAUUAGUUUUUAUUUUUGUAGAGACAAAAAUAAACUGUGUUGCUCAGGCCAGUCUCAAACUCCUGAGCUUAAGUGAUCCUUCUGCCUCGACUUCCCAAAGUGUUGGGAUUACAGAACAGAGGGAAUUUCCUGGAAGGCAGGGUCUGUGUUCAUCUCCCACAGAGCAUAGAGCACAGUGGAUGCUGAGGAAAUGGUGAAUGCUGGAAAGGAGCAACAGGAUGCCAAGGCCAGAAGUUCACCUUUGUGACCAAACUGGCUGAAACUGGUGAGAUGCAAGACGGCAGCUCACUUGACCUCCAAAGAACCUCUAACUUCAUUAUAAUAUAAUUUCCUUGCUAAAUGACACUCCCAUCAGUGUCAUGACAGUUGACAUUGCCAUGACAAUGGCCAGAAGAAACCAUAAAGGGACAAAAAGGAAGGUAGUAACUCUGGUUCCAAGGAGUUCUCCCAUUUCCAGAAAAGACAUGGAUAUUCCUCCCCUUGCUUUUAAUGCCCAACUUUUUCAUUAAAGAUGAAGCCUGUAUCUAUGGUUUCCCAGCUCUCAGGAGCUGAGAAGUUGAUUUGUGAGCCAAACUCCCACUUCUCAAUAAAGGCCGUCGAAUAAAGCAUGCACUGUUUCAUGCUUACUUUUGGGUUCGUGUAUUGGCUUCACAGCACAGAACAGGAAAAGGCUCCAUCUUCUGGGGGACAGGCUUUGUUGGUAACAAAAGGACUGGCCCAGAGUCAGAGUUAGGAAGUGAUAAAGCCAGGUGUCUGCC